UAAGCAUAUCAAUAAGCGGAGGAAAAGAAACCAACAGGGAUUCCCCUAGUAACGGCGAGUGAAGCGGGAACAGCUCAAAUUUGAAAUCUGGCCCUUGGGUCCGAGUUGUAAUUUGCAGAGGAUGCUUUUGGUGCGGUGCCUUCCGAGUUCCCUGGAACGGGACGCCUUAGAGGGUGAGAGCCCCGUACGGUUGGACACCAAGCCUAUGUAAAGCUCCUUCGACGAGUCGAGUAGUUUGGGAAUGCUGCUCAAAAUGGGAGGUAUAUUUCUUCUAAAGCUAAAUAUUGGCCAGAGACCGAUAGCGCACAAGUAGAGUGAUCGAAAGAUGAAAAGCACUUUGAAAAGAGGGUUAAAUAGCACGUGAAAUUGUUGAAAGGGAAGGAUUUAUGACCAGACUUUUUCUAGGGGGAUCAUCCGGUGUUCUCACCGGUGCACUUCCCCUAGUUGAGGCCAGCAUCGGUUUCUGUCGGGGGAUAAAAGCUUUAGGAAUGUGGCUCCCUCCGGGGAGUGUUAUAGCCUGUUGCAUAAUACCCUGACGGGGACCGAGGUUCGCGCAUUGCAAGGAUGCUGGCGUAAUGGUUAUUAAUCACCCGUCUUGAAACACGGACCAAGGAGUCGAACAUUUGUGCGAGUGUUUGGGUGUUAAACCCUCACGCGUAAUGAAAGUGAACGGAGGUGAGAGCCUUUCGGGGUGCAUCAUCGACCGAUCCUGAUGUCUUCGGAUGGAUUUGAGUAAGAGCAUUAAUGUUCGGACCCGAAAGAUGGUGAACUAUGCGUGGAUAGGGUGAAGCCAGAGGAAACUCUGGUGGAGGCUCGCAGCGGUUCUGACGUGCAAAUCGAUCGUCAAAUCUGCGCAUGGGGGCGAAAGACUAAUCGAAC
rnacentral:rRNA from 2 species